UACGUAGGGUGCAAGCGUUAAUCGGAAUUACUGGGCGUAAAGCGUGCGCAGGCGGUUUUGUAAGACUGUCGUGAAAUCCCCGGGCUUAACCUGGGAAUGGCGAUGGUGACUGCAAGGCUAGAGUUUGGCAGAGGGGGGUAGAAUUCCAUGUGUAGCAGUGAAAUGCGUAGAGAUGUGGAGGAACACCGAUGGCGAAGGCAGCCCCCUGGGUCAAGACUGACGCUCAUGCACGAAAGCGUGGGGAGCAAACAGG
rnacentral:rRNA from 1 species